rnacentral:rRNA from 1 species
AUGGCUCAGGAUGAACGCUAGCUACAGGCUUAACACAUGCAAGUCGAGGGGCAGCAUGUGGUGCUGCAACCAAUGAUGGCGACCGGCGCACGGGUGAGUAACGCGUAUCCAACCUCCCCUUAGUAGAGGAUAGCCCGGCGAAAGUCGGAUUAAUACUCUAUGUUCUUCAAUGCGGACAUCUAAGUUGAAGCAAAGAUUUAUCGCUAAGGGAUGGGGAUGCGUCUGAUUAGGUUGCAGGCGGGGUAACGGCCCACCUGGCCUACGAUCAGUAGGGGUUCUGAGAGGAAGGUCCCCCACACUGGUACUGAGACACGGACCAGACUCCUACGGGAGGCAGCAGUGAGGAAUAUUGGUCAAUGGGCGCGAGCCUGAACCAGCCAAGUAGCGUGCAAGGACGACUGCCCUAUGGGUUGUAAACUGCUUUUAUCAGGGAAUAAAGUGAGGCACGCGUGCCUUUUUGUAUGUACCUGAUGAAUAAGGACCGGCUAAUUCCGUGCCAGCCGCGGC